GGGGCUGUAGCUCAGUUUGGGAGAGCGCCUGCAUGGCAUGCAGGAGGUCAGGGGUUCGAUCCCCCUCAGCUCCACCA
rnacentral:tRNA from 1 species